AACCACAGUCAGCGGACGAGCUGUUGGCGCAGUACGCGGCGCUGCAACAGGAGCAGCAGGAAUUGCAGCAACAGAUACAGCAGCAAGAAUCUGUCAUUGCGGACGCUGUGACGAUGCUCCAACUCUUGCUGGCUGGUAUUCAGCUGCUGGCGGAGAAGGAGUCUUCGAGCAACUAAUUCCGCUGAGAGGAAACUUUCACAGCUCUCCGAUUUUAUCUCAGUGAGAGAACACGGAGGACCCUAACGGAUUUUACAGUCCAAUCUGAUACUUCAAACAAGACGCUCUUCUGAAAUACUUGCGCAUGAUUACAGCUGUAAUAAUCAUCAAUAAAGUCCUCAGAUGACCUAACAAAUUAGCCAGAAAUAGAA